AUCUGUAAUAACAACCUCAUUGCUUAUGAAUCCUGGGUUGGAGAUUAAGAAAGGAGAAUAACAGCUUCCAUCUUUGUAAACAGUUUAAACUAUCAGCUAGCCCCUGUACUGGUGUUGUUCCAUACACACACACAUGUGAACUGGUCUGGAGCACUGACCAUCAGGUGAAGCAAGCUAAUAUAAGAAAGGAAACCAAAACCUCACAUCCCAGUAUCAGUGAUACUUGUUACUCUCACAUUGCAUGCUGUGUUUCAUCUCAGACUUUCCUCUUAACAGGAGGAUUGCUAUAGAUCUGUGUCGACUCGUGGCCACGCUUCUUAUAACGAAUUUAAUUUCCUGUCUUUGCCCGACUACUGAACGGGUUGUCUCGUCUUGGACCGCUGGGUGGCGGUAGUAUCGGGAAGAAGAGGCCGAGAAGGAAAGCCGUGUCGACAAUUUACGAGUGUUGCUCAGGUGUGAUCGGGGAAGUAGCUACAAGCUGGCCAGGUAGGCAUUGGAAGGCUAACGGGGGAAGCAGAAGGAAGGGAAUGGCUGGACCGGGAGGAACAGGUAAAUUUUUGCUAACCUUUCUUUUAAUAUCUGCUGGAUUCGGGUGUUGCGGGCGCAGCGUGCUCCUUGUCUAACAUUUACUUGCGCUGCAAACGACAGUACAUUGUCCGAGUGGCAGUUGUUAGAGGCGAAAUGGCAGCGUUUGUCAGUGCUGCAUAGGUACCUUUUAUAUUCUUACUGG